rnacentral:rRNA from 16 species
ACGCAAUCAUGUGCCCAACUGCGCGCUAACCUAGAACCCACAAAGGGUGUUGGUCGAUUAAGACAGCAGGACGGUGGUCAUGGAAGUCGAAAUCCGCUAAGGAGUGUGUAACAACUCACCUGCCGAAUCAACUAGCCCCGAAAAUGGAUGGCGCUGAAGCGCGCGACCCACACCCGGCCAUCUGGGCGAGCGCCAUGCCCCGAUG